rnacentral:tRNA from 1 species
CAGAGAAUAGUUUAUUUAGAAUACUAAUUUUGGAGAUUAGUGAUAGGGGUUACCUUUUCUCUGA